rnacentral:rRNA from 1 species
GGUUGCAGCUGGCUCUUCGGGGC